rnacentral:rRNA from 1 species
AGAGUUUGAUCCUGGCUCAGGAUGAACGCUGGCGGCGUGCUUAAUACAUGCAAGUCGAACGGAGGAUUUUGUAGUAAUACGAAGUUCUCAGUGGCGAACGGGCGAGUAACGAGUUGGUGACCUGCCCCGAAGUGUGGAAUAACAGUCCGAAAGGAUUGCUAAUACCGCAUGUGAUCACGGGAUUUAGAAACCUGUGAUUAAAGCAGUAAUGCGCUUCGGGAGGGACCUGCUUCCCAUCAGCUAGUUGGUGAGGUAAUGGCCCACCAAGGCUACGACGGGUAAGGGACCUGAGAGGGUGGUCCCUCGCAAUGGCACUGAAACACGGGCCAUACACCUACGGGUGGCAGCAGUAGGGAAUAUUGGGCAAUGGGCGAAAGCCUGACCCAGCAACGCCGCGUGCACGAUGAAGGCCUUCGGGUCGUAAAGUGCUUUUCUGAGGGAUGAGUAAGGACAGUACCUCAGGAAUAAGCCUCGGCUAACUACGUGCCAGCAGCCGCGGUAAAACGAAGGAGGCGAGCGUUAUCCGGAUUUACUGGGCGUAAAGCGUGUGUAGGCGGUUCGGCAAGUUGGAUGUGAAAGCUCCUGGCUUAACUAGGAGAGGUCGUUCAAUACUACCGAACUUGAGGGUAGGAAGGUGGAAUUCCCGGUGUAGUGGUGAAAUGCGUAGAUAUCGGGAGGAACACCAGUGGCGAAAGCGGCCUUCUGGGAUAUUCCUGACGCUCAGACACGAAAGCUAGGGUAGCAAACGGGAUUAGAGACCCCGGUAGUCCUAGCAGUAAACGAUGUAGACUUGGUGUCGGAGGUGUCAAAACCUUCGGUAUCGUAGCUAACGCGAUAAGUCUACCGCCUGGGGACUACGGCCGCAAGGUUAAAACUCAAAGGAAUUGACGGGGGCCCGCACAAGCAGCGGAGCGUGUGGUUUAAUUCGAUUCUACACGAAGAACCUUACCCAGGUUUGACAUGUUGGUGGUAGGGAUCCGAAAGGUGACCGACCCGCAAGGGAGCCUUCACAGGUGCUGCAUGGCUGUCGUCAGCUCGUGUCGUGAGAUGUUCGGUUAAGUCCGCUAACGAGCGCAACCCUCGCCGUAUGUUACAAGUGUCAUGCGGGACCGCCGGUAUCAAGCCGGAGGAAGGUGGGGAUGACGUCAAGUCAGCAUGGCCUUUAUGUCUGGGGCUACACACACGCUACAAUGGCCGGUACAAUGGGUUGCUAAGCCGCGAGGUAGAGCCAAUCCCCAAAGCCGGUCUCAGUUCAGAUCACAGGCUGCAACCUGCCUGUGUGAAGUUGGAG